AGUGGGGAAUAUUGGACAAUGGGGGCAACCCUGAUCCAGCCAUGCCGCGUGAAUGAUGAAGGCCUUCGGGUUGUAAAGUUCUUUUGACGGGGACGAUGAUGACGGUACCCGUAGAAUAAGCUCCGGCUAACUUCGUGCCAGCAGCCGCGGUAAUACGAAGGGAGCUAGCGUUGUUCGGAUUUACUGGGCGUAAAGGGCGCGUAGGCGGUUUGGUAAGUUGGAUGUGAAAGCCCUGGGCUUAACCCGGGAAUUGCAUUCAAAACUACCUUACUUGAAUUCGGUAGAGGUUGGUAGAAUUCCCAGUGUAGAGGUGAAAUUCGUAGAGAUUGGGAAGAAUACCCGUGGCGAAGGCGGCCAACUGGACCGACAUUGACGCUGAGGCGCGAAAGCGUGGGUAGCAAA
rnacentral:rRNA from 1 species